UCUAGACCACACGUGUUUUGAAAGAGGGAUUUCGCAUAGAGAAAUACCGGACGUAACUUGAAUCAAAGUGACAUUCGACCACAUAGCAAAACGGUUAGUGCUCGCGGUUAUUGUUCGCGCUUCAAACUGACGAGUUGGUGAUCGAAACUGUUUCAUUGGAUAAAUUGGAUAUUUUCUCAUGACGCGUCCUCCGCGCUGUGCAUUCUACGAACAGGAAUUAGAACUGAGCAAGGAGACUAUUGUUGACUGGUCAAGUUUUUGCCGUGAGCAGAGCCGGAACCCACAGGAUUCAACGCGUGCCUUCCUUCUUCUCCUAGGGUUUUGAAUUUGUGCCUUGAGAACGGGCGCCAAUAUAUCCAAUUUGGAACAGCAUCCUCCCGGUUUUUUAAUUGACUGGCCAUUCAAUUAAAACAGCCACCCGAUUAGUCAACUCCACUCAACUGGAACUUCACGCAACAAUAACUUCAAUUCUGGAUAAAUAGGGACACCCUGUACGGGAGCAAUCAGUAUCGGGUUGUCUCUCGCCCUGAUGAAGUAAACUGCAAUGUUUACGACACGUCGGCAAUAAAUCGUCGACCAAUGGUGCUCCAUCAUAAGUAUAUUCCAAAUCUUAUACAUAUAUCUAUAUUUUAUUCUCUGCGUUCAUUUAAUUUGCUGUAUUUAUCUCCUUAGCUUAUUGAAUAAACUCAUUAGGAAGA